rnacentral:lncRNA from 1 species
ACUAUUAUUAUUACUUUUUUCUUAAUGUGAAUCAUAGCUAUCAGUUCAAUCAUUGCUUUUCCUGUUACAGAUGUCAGUCUUUUUUCUGUUGAUGCGGAAAAAAAGCGCAGCUAGUCCUUUUCAGAGUAGGAGCAGUUAGGAUAGGGGAAAUCCCCUUCUUUCUCUGGUUUCAAAACCCCAACCGGUAACCAAAACAAAGAAGCCAGCUUCGGUAGUCUUAGUAGCUUCAAAGGAAUUGGUAGUAUGUCUUGAAUAGGAAAGCAUUCAAUGUAUGAACUCAACCUAUGUUCAAGAGCUUGAACAAUGAAGUGAAAGCUCUAAGCUAGCUCUUCGAUCCCAGCAAUGGGUGUAAUCGCUAACAAGCUAUCAGGCAGGAUACCUCAAUCUGUCAAAGCUAUGAACCGUACUCGUCUGCUUGUUCUUCCUCGAAUAGAAGCUCUAGAUCGAAUUGAAUAGAUGCCCUAUCAGGAUUAAAAGGAGUUGGUCUCGGCUGCCUCCGUUCUCUUUACGGAUGGAUAGAGAAAAAUCCCAGAAAUCGUUCCCUCCCGGCCCUACCUCUUCUGGUUAACGCCUCUCUGAAGAUCUUUUUAGGGUGGGCAAAGAGGGUGAAGCCACUUUUGCAGCUCUGCCCGGUAGAAAAAGUGGAACUCGAAUAGUUGUCUGAUAAAGGAAGGCAGUAAAGGAUAUGAAAGAAAGCAGGCUUUACUAUCUUACCUAGCUCCCAAGGUGGGAACACUUAACUCAUGAAGACGUUGUGCUCGGGCCUCUCUUGGGGGAGUCCCUUCUCUCCUCCACCCCCUUCCCUUGAACAGGCUUUCCGCGGUACCAAGCUCACUUCAUUAAGUCUUUCUUUAAUAAAUAUAGGAGUGUUUAUCGCUACUACCAACUACAGCAACUGAAAAAAGGAGCUAACACUAAUAGUUAUCCGAAAGACGGUUCUGCAAGCCGGACUUAACGACAGAUCUUCUAGUUUCUUUAUUUUAUCUAAAAACCGCUCUUGCUCGAACUGGAAAUUGCGUGAAUAGUGGAAGAGCACGCCAUUCGGAUUAGAGCUGUGGCACGAGAAGGCAGAAGGCCGGUGCCUUGAUCGAGACCUUUUUUGGCGUGAGUUGCUUAGUGUUAAGUGUAUAGCCACAAAGAAAUUACAUAAGGCAUUUCACACUCGCUUUUCAGAAGGAAUAAAAAAACCAGGCUGUUCGCAGAACGAAUAAAAAGUCUUUCAUAAAUGCUUUAUGGAAAGAGUCAUGUUUACAAGCUCGAGGAAUCUAAGGGGCGUUAAGCGUUAAGAAGGCUAUAAGGGAAUCUUUCUUUCAAUUCAAACCGUUAGACGAGACGAGAACUUGUAUGGAAAAGGGUUCUCCGCGUCGCAUCGGUUUUUCCUAGACCUCAAAGACUGGCACCUCCCUUUCAUCUGCACCUGAAAACAGUGGUUAGGCUUUACCUGGACCUUCCUUCCUUCUUUUUGCAUCUCUGGCUUAGUCUAGUCCUUCGUAUCUUCCUUUCCCUCUUUAGUUUCAAUGUCAAUGGCAGUUAUCUUUAGAAAGAGUAGGGGGAUGGAUUUCCUGGGAUGUCGAUUCUGUAAUCAAGACAAAGCAAGAUACCCACGCCAAGAUCGAUGAAAAUAGAAGCCGGCUAUUUCUUAUUUUAUUAUAGAUAGGACAGGUAAGAGAGAAGACCUGUUACGCCGAGAGGAGCACACCUUGAUCUGUCAUUCCUUCCACGCGCACCGUCGAUCAGGGCUAUUUGAACUAGUUGAAAAGAAAAGGCUGGGUUGCCCCUUGGUUCUUUCAACCGUACUUCCUUGGGGCUUGCUUCUUAUGACCCCACCCUUCGCACCAAACGCCGGCAAACCGCUGCUAAAGAAGAAUGAACUGGGGAAGAAAGAUUUUCUAGAACCAGAACCUUGGCGCUGCUUUCUAACACCGGCAUUCAAAGCAGGAGCUGCUACUGUACUUUCUAGCGCUUGCUUGCGAUCUGGAGACCGCAUAAAGAAGAGCUUUCCCCCGAGCCUGCUUUCUUCGUACCAAACAUCUGCUAACAAAAUGUGCCAAAACGUCCUAGGUGUGCUGGCAAAGCAUUCCCUAUCACUUCUUGUGUUGUGCUCUUUCGAAAAGGGGGAUCCCCUAUGAAAUUCGAUUUAGCUUCCGCCCCAAACUACGCUUCCUUCGUUCGCCUACUGGGCCCUUCCCUCCGCCCUUUGGUUCUUUCCUUCUUGGAUCCCUUCCCCCCUCUAGUGGUAAGGCCUUGAAGGCAGUCUUAAGAUAAGCGCUUUUGUAAAGCAGUGAGCAAGCAAACAACUUUUCAAGCAGUCCGCUAGCUUAAAAAAAUUCCUUAGAACUAGGGGGGAUAGGCAGAAAGCAAGGGAAAGAGCUAUUCAGAAUAUGUUAAUUAUUCCCCGCCCUCCAAUAGAACUCCUAAGUAAAAAAGUCUAUCCGCAGUGGAAGCUAGCAAGUAAAGCCAGUAUCUUUACUUCUUUGGAAAGCUUUCAGGCAAGGUCAAUCCAUGAUCCAGUGAGAAAGCCUGAGUCUCAGUAGUUUAUAGAACCCCGUAGAAGAAAGCUUAGUAGAGUGCUUGGUCUCCUAGCUUGCCUGCCAGUGAGAGUAAUGCCUUCCAGUUUGUCUUUCACUCAGUCAGUCAGUCAGUCAUUCGUCCCAGCUUUCCUUUCUUCUUGUCCCGAAAGCAUUUCUUUCAUAGAACGACUUGCCCAUAGGUCGUAAUGCUACGAAGAAGUUGUUUGGUAAGCCUGUCUCUUCUUUAUAGAAAGUAGCCUGUCUGCGGUCACUCUCUCUUUCGCUGUCCAAGGGGCAAUGCGAGCACGAAUCUUACUGGCUUAGUGAGUCUUCUUAGUAAGCGCUGAAAGGCAGGCAUCCGUAACAGCCUUCCACCUCUUGUUUUGCUUUUCUUUUUCCACAGAUCUGGAACUUUGCACACUUGGAACCCGAUCCUGAGGAAGAAUGAAUUGUCGGGUUGGAUUUGUAGGGUGCCAAUAAGGAUGCCAGGGUGCCAGGCGAGCACGAAGACUGACUAGGGACGGACGGAAGGGACUUAGCCCAGCACCCCCUCAUCUGCUGCACCUGAGAACAGGCAUCUAAGAACGAAAGCCUUAAUAAAAGCAAUCUUGAGAGGCAGAAACCCGGCUAGGAGUGCUC